UUUCACUCCUGUCAUCUUCUCCCCACGGUAGCCGGAGCACUUACAACGCCGGAGCAGCAGGUGGCAGCAAUUAAGACCGUUGAAUCAAAACAUCAACAGACGAAGAAGAAAGUGGGCAGCGGAAGCAGGAAGUGGUGCAGCCGCAGUUAACGGAGGCUGGACGACCACAUCAAACCAACCACAGACUUCAGCUGCUUCUCAACCUCUGGCUCGUGUUGUGCAUCAUGGCGGGCAGACGAGCUGUGAAGGCCGUGCUCAUUGACCUGAGUGGAACUCUACACGUGGAGGACACAGCUGUAGCGGGGGCCCAGGAGGCUCUGAGCAGGUUACGUCAGGCCUCUGUAGCCGUGAAGUUUGUGACCAACACAACAAAGGAGAGUAGGAGGAGUUUAUAUGAGCGACUGCUGCGUCUCAACUUUGACCUGCAGGAACAGGAGAUCUUCACCUCCGUCAGUGCAGCCAGGAGUUUGUUGGAGCAGAACCAACACAGACCACUGCUGCUGCUGGAGGACAGCGCUCUGGAGGACUUCACAGGUAUCGACACGUCAGAACCAAACGCUGUCGUCGUCGGUCUCGCUCCCGAUCACUUCAACUACCAAACACUCAACACGGCGUUUCGGAUGAUUCUGGACGGCGCUCCUCUCAUCGCCAUCCACAAGGCUCGCUACUACAAACGUAAAGACGGUCUGGCGCUCGGCCCCGGGCCCUUCGUGGCAGGACUGGAGUACGCCACGGGCUGCAGAGCGUCUGUGGUGGGGAAACCAGAAAAGGCUUUUUUCACUCAGGCCGUGUCAGAGUUAGGCUGCAGCCCCAGUGAAGCCGUCAUGAUCGGAGACGAUGCAAGAGAUGAUGUGGGCGGAGCUCAGGACGCAGGCAUGCUGGGUAUUUUAGUGAGAACUGGUAAAUACAGAGAAGGUGAUGAGAACAAGCUCCGCCCCCCACCUCACCUGACCUGUGACAGUUUCCCUGAGGCUGUAGAUCACAUCCUGAAGAACCUGCUGUAGAACCUUUAGAACCUGGACAGUCUAUCAGUUCAAGAAACACUCUGUUAAUCAGUCCUUUAGUUUUUACUGAGAAGUUUAAUAAUGAAGAGAACGUCUUCAUCAUCAUCAUCUUCAUCAUCAUCAUCAUCAUCGAGUCUGUGGUUCUGGACGUAGACCUGAGGUCCACACAGGUUCUAAAUCGUCUCUUUAGGAGAUGUAUUCACAACCGACCCCUGGUGGCCGCUGCUGGUAUAGCAGCCACUUCAGGCGACUGCUGCCCACGCACCUUAAUGGGAUAGACCACGGCCUCUUUGACUAAUCGCUUGGCGUCCUCCAGGCCGAUGAUGUCCUCCCAGCGCACGUUGGGGCUGUGCAAAUAGAUGUCCUACAAGGGACACGCACACACACACACACACACACACACACACACACACACACACAGG